CUGACGGAGCAAUACCGCGUGAGGGAGGAAGGCUCUUGGGUUGUAAACCUCUUUUCUCAAGGAAGAAUGAUGACGGUACUUGAGGAAUCAGCAUCGGCUAACUCCGUGCCAGCAGCCGCGGUAAUACGGAGGAUGCAAGCGUUAUCCGGAAUGAUUGGGCGUAAAGCGUCCGUAGGUGGCUGUGUGUGUCUAUUGUUAAAGAGUUUGGCUCAACCAAAUAAGGGCGGUAGAAACUACACAGCUAGAGUGCGUUCGGGGCAGAGGGAAUUCCUGGUGUAGCGGUGAAAUGCGUAGAGAUCAGGAAGAACACCGGUGGCGAAAGCGCUCUGCUAGGCCGCAACUGACACUGAGGGACGAAAGCUAGGGGAGCGAAUGGG
rnacentral:rRNA from 1 species